rnacentral:rRNA from 1 species
CUGAACCAGCCAAGUAGCGUGAAGGAUGACUGCCCUAUGGGUUGUAAACUUCUUUUAUACGGGAAUAAAGUGAGCCACGUGUGGCUUUUUGUAUGUACCGUAUGAAUAAGCAUCGGCUAACUCCGUGCCAGCAGCCGCGGUAAUACGGAGGAUGCGAGCGUUAUCCGGAUUUAUUGGGUUUAAAGGGAGCGCAGACGGGAGAUUAAGUCAGUUGUGAAAGUUUGCGG